GAUGAACGCUGACAGAAUGCUUAACACAUGCAAGUCCACUUGAAUUUGGGUUUUUAACUUAGGUUUGGGUGGCGGACGGGUGAGUAACGCGUAAAGAACUUGCCUCACAGCUAGGGACAACAUUUGGAAACGAAUGCUAAUACCUAAUAUUAUGAUAAUAGGGCAUCCUAUAAUUAUGAAAGCUAUAAGCGCUGUGAGAGAGCUUUGCGUCCCAUUAGCUAGUUGGAGAGGUAACGGCUCACCAAGGCGAUGAUGGGUAGCCGGCCUGAGAGGGUGAUCGGCCACAAGGGGACUGAGACACGGCCCUUACUCCGACGGGAGGCAGCAGUGGGGAAUAUUGGACAAUGGACCGAGAGUCUGAUCCAGCAAUUCUGUGUGCACGAUGAAGUUUUUCGGAAUGUAAAGUGCUUUCAGUUGGGAAGAAACAAAUGACGGUACCAACAGAAGAAGUGACGGCUAAAUACGUG
rnacentral:rRNA from 1 species